CCUACGGGGGGCAGCAGUGAGGAAUAUUGGUCAAUGGGCGCGAGCCUGAACCAGCCAAGUCGCGUGAGGGAAGACGGUCCUAUGGAUUGUAAACCUCUUUUGUCGGGGAGCAAAAGACGCCACGCGUGGCGUUCCGAGCGUACCCUAAGAACAAGCAUCGGCAAACUCCGUGCCAGCAGCCGCGGUAAUACGGAGGAUGCGAGCGUUAUCCGGAUUUAUUGGGUUUAAGGGGUGCGCAGGCGGAAGCUCAAGUCAGCGGUAAAAUUGAGAGGCUCAACCUCUUCGAGCCGUUGAAACUGGUUGUCUUGAGUGAGUGAGAAGUAUGCGGAAUGCGUGGUGUAGCGGUGAAAUGCAUAGAUAUCACGCAGAACUCCGAUUGCGAAGGCAGCAUACCGGCGCGCAACUGACGCUCAUGCACGAAAGUGUGGGUAUCGAACAGGAUUAGAUACCCCUGUAGUC
rnacentral:rRNA from 1 species